UGGGGAAUAUUGCACAAUGGGCGCAAGCCUGAUGCAGCCAUGCCGCGUGUAUGAAGAAGGCCUUCGGGUUGUAAAGUACUUUCAGCGGGGAGGAAGGCGAUGCGGUUAAUAACCGCGUCGAUUGACGUUACCCGCAGAAGAAGCACCGGCUAACUCCGUGCCAGCAGCCGCGGUAAUACGGAGGGUGCAAGCGUUAAUCGGAAUUACUGGGCGUAAAGCGCACGCAGGCGGUCUGUCAAGUCGGAUGUGAAAUCCCCGGGCUCAACCUGGGAACUGCAUCCGAAACUGGCAGGCUUGAGUCUCGUAGAGGGGGGUAGAAUUCCAGGUGUAGCGGUGAAAUGCGUAGAGAUCUGGAGGAAUACCGGUGGCGAAGGCGGCCCCCUGGACAAAGACUGACGCUCAGGUGCGAAAGCGUGGGGAGCAAACA
rnacentral:rRNA from 1 species